rnacentral:rRNA from 1 species
CUACGGGCGGCACCAGGCGAGAAAACUUUGCAAUGUGCGAAAGCACGACAAGGUUAAUCCGAGUGGUUUGUGCUAAACGAACCUUUUGACAGUCCUAGAAACACUGUUGAAUAAGGGGUGGGCAAGUUCUGGUGUCAGCCGCCGCGGUAAAACCAGCACCUCAAGUGGUCAGGAUGAUUAUUGGGCCUAAAGCAUCCGUAGCCGGCUCUGUAAGUUUUCGGUUAAAUCUGUACGCUCAACGUACAGGCCGCCGGGAAUACUGCAGAGCUAGGGAGUGGGAGAGGUAGACGGUACUCGGUAGGAAGGGGUAAAAUCCUUUGAUCUAUUGAUGACCACCUGUGGCGAAGGCGGUCUACCAGAACACGUCCGACGGUGAGGGAUGAAAGCUGGGGAGCAAACCGGAUUAGAUACCCCCGUAGUC